UACGUAGGGUCCGAGCGUUGUCCGGAAUCACUGGGCGUAAAGGGCGCGUAGGCGGCCUGAUAAGUAGGGGGUGAAAUCUCGCGGCUCAACUGCGAGGCUGCCUCCUAAACUGUCGGGCUCGAGCACAGUAGAGGCAGGUGGAAUUCCCGGUGUAGCGGUGGAAUGCGUAGAGAUCGGGAAGAACAUCGGUGGCGAAGGCGGCCUGCUGGGCUGUUGCUGACGCUGAGGCGCGACAGCGUGGGGAGCAAACAGG
rnacentral:rRNA from 1 species